rnacentral:rRNA from 1 species
AUACGGAGGGUGCGAGCGUUGUUCGGAAUUAUUGAGCGUAAAGAGCAUGUAGGCGGUCUGUUAAGUCUGGUGUGAAAGCCCGGGGCUCAACCCCGGAAGUGCAUUGGAUACUGGCAGACUUGAGGAUGGGAGAGGAAAGCGGAAUUCCGAGUGUAGGAGUGAAAUCCGUAGAUAUUCGGAGGAACACCAGUGGCGAAGGCGGCUUUCUGGACCAAUACUGACGCUGAGAUGCGAAAGCGUGGGGAGCGAACAGGAUUAGAAACCCCUGUAGUCC